rnacentral:rRNA from 1 species
GGUGCGCCUUAUGCAUGCAAGUCGAGCGAAGCUUUUCAGUAGUUUACUACAGAAAAUGACUGAGCGGCGAACGGGUGAGUAACGCGUGAGCAAUCUACCUUAGUUACAGGGAUAGCCCGAGGAAACUCGGAUUAAUACCUGAUAUUCUUUACAUUUCGCAUGAAAUCAAAAGGAAAGGUCAGCCGAACUAAGAUGAGCUCGCGUUCUAUCAGCUAGUUGGUGAGGUAAAAGCUCACCAAGGCAACGACGGAUAGCUGGUCUGAGAGGACGAUCAGCCACACUGGGACUGAGACACGGCCCAGACUCCUACGGGAGGCUGCAGCAGGGAAUAUUGCGCAAUGAGCGAAAGCUUGACGCAGCGACACCGCGUGUGGGAUGACGGAUCUAGGUUUGUAAACCACUUUCAGGAGGGAAGAAAAUGACGGUACCUCCACAAGAAGCCCCGGCCAACUACGUGCCAGCAGCCGCGGUAAUACGUAGGGGGCGAGCGUUGUCCGGAUUUAUUGGGCGUAAAGAGCUCGUAGGCGGUUCAACAAGUCGGUCGUAAAAGUUCAGGGCUCAACCCUGAAAUGUCGAUCGAUACUGUUGUGACUAGGAUACGGUAGAGGUGAGUGGAAUUCCGAGUGUAGCGGUGAAAUGCGUAGAUAUUCGGAGGAACACCAAUUGCGAAGGCAGCUCACUGGGCCGCUAUCGACGCUGAGGAGCGAAAGCUAGGGGAGCAAACAGGAUUAGAUACCCUGGUAGUCCUAGCUGUAAACGAUGGAUACUAGACGUAGGAACUGGAUUGACGGUUUCUGUGUCGUAGCUAACGCGUUAAGUAUCCCGCC